rnacentral:rRNA from 1 species
AUUGAACGCUAGCGGCAGGCCUAACACAUGCAAGUCGAACGAGUGGCGGACGGGUGAGUAAUGUCUGGGAAACUGCCCGAUGGAGGGGGAUAACUACUGGAAACGGUAGCUAAUACCGCAUACCAUCGGAUGAGCCCAGAGGGGAGUAGCUAGUAGGUGGGGUAACGGCUCACCUAGGCGACGAUCCCUAGCUGGUCUGAGAGGAUGACCAGCCACACUGGAACUGAGACACGGGCCAGACUCCGACGGGAGGCAGCAGUGGGGAAUAUUGCACAAUGGGCGCAAGCCUGAUGCAGCCAUGCCGAGUGUAUGAAGAAGGCCUUCGGGUUGUAAAGUAAUUUCAGUGAGGAGGCGUUACUCGCAGAAGAAGCACCGGCUAACUCCGUGCCAGCAGCCGCGGUAAUUC